rnacentral:lncRNA from 1 species
CUGAAAGAUAAAUAAAUGUUGUAGUGGAUAAUGCUGUGUCUUUUUGAUUAUGUCACGUAACAUAAGCUUACUAAACUCUUCUGACUAAUGUUUUAACUUCAUAAUUUAGUGGUUUUGUCAACUAUAUCUUUUUUUUCUAUCAGGCAAAAUCUAGAUUUCUAGGGUAACACUUUACAAUAAGGUUUCAUUUGUUAACAUUGAUGCAUUGCCUAACAUUAACUAUGAGCAAUACAUUUGAUACAGUAUUUAGGCGGAACAGCCAGUUUUCACUAAACCUUUCGGCACGCCCACCUUUUAGCACGCCCAUUGAUCCAGGCUGCAGGUACCCCUACUUGCUUAUAUAGAGCACAUGAAGCCUGUAUGAUCUCUCAGUAUCAGACACUGUAUCCUCCAGUAGGUGGCACUCUUUCAGUGUGAUUAAUGUGAUAUUCAGUCAAUGGUGAUGGAGGGAGGAGCCAGUAAAGCUGCUCAUUACUGAUAAAGAGCUGAAUAAAGAGGAAGUAACUAAAGCAGACAGAUGUAGAGACAGAGAGAUUCACACAGAGAUCAUUCAGCAGAAAGAAGACUGAACUCAAGUCACAAUGAAGAUCCUCCUCAUCUUCUUCACUUUCUACCUGAUCUCAGGUCAGAGCUUUUCUCUUUCAUCACUGCAGUAAUGAUGCUGUUUUCUGUUCAGCAGCUUUCUGAUCACAGUAUUAAUCUGAUUGACAGCUGCUGAAAAAUACAUUGAUGUCACUGGAUAUUCUGGAGGAAGUGUUCUUGUUGAUUCGAAGGAACUUUGGUUCAGUGCAAAUUCUAAGUAUAUGACCAGAUUAUCUGAGUGGAGAGCAAUGAUAAAUUAUAAGAAACAUUACAAAUGGAUUAAUGAAGGACGAUUCACACUGUUUCAAAACGAUGAGGGAAACCUCAUGAUCUACAUCAGAGAUUUAAACCAACGAGAUGCUGGAAGAUACAUGAUUAGAGUUAAAGACAAAUGGUCUAUUGAUAUGAUUUUAAAUGUGAAAGAAGGCAUCUGCAACACCGUGAACACAGACGGAGUGCCUUCAGAAGGA